UACUACGAAUCACCAAACGUGUGUACAAU
rnacentral:sRNA from 1 species